rnacentral:rRNA from 1 species
UGGCGUGCCUUUUGUAGAAUGAACCGGCGAGUUACGAUUUGAUGCAAGGUUAAGCAGUAAAUGUGGAGCCGUAGCGAAAGCGAGUCUGAAUAGGGCGUUUAGUAUUUGGUCGUAGACCCGAAACCAGGUGAUCUACCCUUGGUCAGGUUGAAGUUCAGGUAACACUGAAUGGAGGACCGAACCGACUUACGUUGAAAAGUGAGCGGAUGAACUGAGGGUAGCGGAGAAAUUCCAAUCGAACCUGGAGAUAGCUGGUUCUCUCCGAAAUAGCUUUAGGGCUAGCCUCAAGUGAUGAUUAUUGGAGGUAGAGCACUGUUUGGACGAGGGGCCCCUCUCGGGUUACCGAAUUCAGACAAACUCCGAAUGCCAAUUAAUUUAACUUGGGAGUCAGAACAUGGGUGAUAAGGUCCGUGUUCGAAAGGGAAACAGCCCAGACCACCAGCUAAGGUCCCAAAAUAUAUGUUAAGUGGAAAAGGAUGUGGCGUUGCCCAGACAACUAGGAUGUUGGCUUAGAAGCAGCCAUCAUUUAAAGAGUGCGUAAUAGCUCACUAGUCGAGUGACACUGCGCCGAAAAUGUACCGGGGCUAAACAUAUUACCGAAGCUGUGGAUUGUCCUUUGGACAAUGGUAGGAGAGCGUUCUAAGGGCGUUGAAGCAUGAUCGUAAGGACAUGUGGAGCGCUUAGAAGUGAGAAUGCCGGUGUGAGUAGCGAAAGACGGGUGAGAAUCCCGUCCACCGAUUGACUAAGGUUUCCAGAGGAAGGCUCGUCCGCUCUGGGUUAGUCGGGUCCUAAGCUGAGGCCGACAGGCGUAGGCGAUGGAUAACAGGUUGAUAUUCCUGUACCACCUAUAAUCGUUUUAAUCGAUGGGGGGACGCAGUAGGAUAGGCGAAGCGUGCGAUUGGAUUGCACGUCUAAGCAGUAAGGCUGAGUAUUAGGCAAAUCCGGUACUCAUUAAGGCUGAGCUGUGAUGGGGAGAAGACAUUGUGUCUUCGAGUCGUUGAUUUCACACUGCCGAGAAAAGCCUCUAGAUAGAAAAUAGGUGCCCGUACCGCAAACCGACACAGGUAGUCAAGAUGAGAAUUCUAAGGUGAGCGAGCGAACUCUCGUUAAGGAACUCGGCAAAAUGACCCCGUAACUUCGGGAGAAGGGGUGCUCUUUAGGGUUAACGCCCAGAAGAGCCGCAGUGAAUAGGCCCAAGCGACUGUUUAUCAAAAACACAGGUCUCUGCUAAACCGUAAGGUGAUGUAUAGGGGCUGACGCCUGCCCGGUGCUGGAAGGUUAAGAGGAGUGGUUAGCUUCUGCGAAGCUACGAAUCGAAGCCCCAGUAAACGGCGGCCGUAACUAUAACGGUCCUAAGGUAGCGAAAUUCCUUGUCGGGUAAGUUCCGACCCGCACGAAAGGCGUAACGAUUUGGGCACUGUCUCAACGAGAGACUCGGUGAAAUCAUAGU